GAUUGCAGGUGCAGAGUGAACAGACAAACUCUUAAGAAACAGGUUUCAGGGUUGUUCCUCCUGCAUCAACUUCUGCACUGUAGACAUGAAACCUUUGAAAAGUGAUUUGUGAAACUGAAACAUGUCAAGUUUAGGUCCAGUUGCUGUCAGAAAAGAAACCAGAUCCUUCAAGCUACUGUCUCCUUGGCUGAAGGGGACAGUUUAACAGCAGGAAGACUAUGUUACCAUUUGACAGAUCCUGGGUUUCCAAAACAACUGGAAUGUUGUGAGGAGCAAUUUAGAGCAGCC